rnacentral:tRNA from 1 species
GGUUGUGGCUUAGUGGUAGAGCGCCUGCCUAGCAUGCAUAAGGCACUGGGUUCAUCCCCGGCACCA